GUCUAUGGCUAUGCCACCUUGAACAAGCUCAAUAUCUAAUCUCGGAAGCCAAGCAGGGUCGAGCCUGGUUAGUACUUGGAUGGGAGACCACCUAGGAAGACCAGGUGCUGUAAACA
rnacentral:rRNA from 1 species